rnacentral:lncRNA from 1 species
UUUUGUUUGUCUGUUUGUCCUUUUCAUUUUUAGCCAUGGCGUUGUCAGUUUAUUGUCGAUUUAUGAGUUUGACUGUCCCUCUGAUAUCUUUCGUCCCUCUUUCAUCACGAGUUCCCGCGCUUUUGUUGAUUGUUUUAUACCGGUAGUUGCUUUAUCUACGGUAACAACCUGUUAACAUUUUCUAUAAUGAACCGUGGCACAAACUGUACAACAUGGUUUCGAAUGAUCCUUGCAAAAUAUUUCAAUGUUCUUGUCCGGAUGUUCUUCACAAUUGACGAAUCCAAAAUUCUCUGACGAAGUCGUAUAUUCGUCCAUAUGAUUAAGUUGUAUUAUUUUCUGAUUUCUUAAUGUUUUAUACAACUUAUGAUUAGCUUCGCAUGGCUUGCAAUAUGUUUUUUCGCACACAGUGCAAAACGAUACAGCCAACUGUGAAACGUUUUUUUGUUCACAUGUGUCGCAAAGCUCUUCCGAUUUCUGUAUUGCUUUUCUG